rnacentral:rRNA from 1 species
CUGGCACCUUCGGUGUCCGAGUUGUAAUUUGAAGAAGGUAACUUUGGAGUUGGCUCUUGUCUAUGUUCCUUGGAACAGGACGUCACAGAGGGUGAGAAUCCCGUGCGAUGAGAUGUCCAACUCUAUGUAAAGUGCUUUCGAAGAGUCGAGUUGUUUGGGAAUGCAGCUCUAAGUGGGUGGUAAAUUCCAUCUAAAGCUAAAUAUUGGCGAGAGACCGAUAGCGAACAAGUACAGUGAUGGAAAGAUGAAAAGAACUUUGAAAAGAGAGUGAAAAAGUACGUGAAAUUGUUGAAAGGGAAGGGUUUGAGAUCAGACUUGGUAUUUUGUAUGUCUUGCUUUCGGGUGGGGCCUCUGCAGUUUACUGGGCCAGCAUCGGUUUGGACGGUAGGAUAAUGACAUUGGAAUGUGGCACUACUUCGGUGGUGUGUUAUAGACUUUGUU